GGUUGAUAGGCAGGAGUCAUAUGCUUGUCUCAAAGAUUAAGCCAUGCAUGUCAAAGUUCAAGCGAAAAUAAAGUGAAACCGCGAAUGGCUCAUUACAUCAGUUAUGGUUCCUUAGAUCGCACUUACUACUUGGAUAACUGUGGUAAUUCUAGAGCUAAUACAUGCGCUGGGCUCCAACCCUCGUGGAAGGAGCGCUUUUAUUAGAUCAAAGCCAAUCGGGUCUUCGGGCUCGUUAAAUGGUGACUCUGAAUAACUUUGCUGAUCGCAUGGUCUUGUACCGGCGACGUAUCUUUCAAGUGUCUGCCUUAUCAACUGUCGAUGGUAGGUUAUGCGCCUACCAUGGUGGUAACGGGUAACGGGGAAUUAGGGUUCGAUUCCGGAGAGGGAGCCUGAGAAACGGCUACCACAUCCAAGGAAGGCAGCAGGCGCGCAAAUUACCCACUCCCAGCUCGGGGAGGUAGUGACGAAAAAUAACGAUACGGGACUCUUUAGAGGCUCCGUAAUCGGAAUGAGUACACUUUAAAUCCUUUAACGAGGAUCUAUUGGAGGGCAAGUCUGGU
rnacentral:rRNA from 1 species